CCUACGGGUGGCAGCAGUGAGGAAUAUUGGUCAAUGGGCGCAAGUCUGAACCAGCCAAGCAGCGUGCAGGAUGACUGCUCUAUGGGUUGUAAACUGCUUUUAUACAGGGAUAAACCCCGAUACGUGUGCCUGGUUGAAAGUAUCUUACGAAUAAGGAUCGGCUAACUCCGUGCCAGCAGCCGCGGUAAUACGGAGGAUCCGAGCGUUAUCCGGAUUUAUUGGGUUUAAAGGGUGCGUAGGUGGGUUGGUAAGUUAGAGGUGAAAUGUUGGGGCUCAACCGUGAAAUUGCAUCUAAUACUGGUGGUCUAGAGAAUAGUUGAGGUAGGCGGAAUGUGUGGUGUAGCGGUGAAAUGCUUAGAGAUCAUACAGAACUCCGAUUGCGAAGGCAGCUUACCAAACUACAGCUGACGUUGAGGCACGAAAGUGUGGGUAGCAAACAGGAUUAGAUACCCUUGUAGUC
rnacentral:rRNA from 1 species